AUUGAACGCUGGCGGCAGGCUUAACACAUGCAAGUCGAGCGGGGUGAUGGUGCUUGCACUAUCACUUAGCGGCGGACGGGUGAGUAAUGCUUAGGAAUCUGCCUAUUAGUGGGGGACAACAUCUCGAAAGGGAUGCUAAUACCGCAUACGUCCUACGGGAGAAAGCAGGGGAUCACUUGUGACCUUGCGCUAAUAGAUGAGCCUAAGCCGGAUUAGCUAGUUGGUGGGGUAAAGGCCUACCAAGGCGACGAUCUGUAGCGGGUCUGAGAGGAGGAUCCGCCACACUGGGACGGGGACACGGCCCAGAAUCCUACGGGAGGCAGCAGUGGGGAAUAUUGGACAAUGGGGGGAACCCUGAUCCAGCCAUGCCGCGUGUGUGAAGAAGGCCUUAUGGUUGUAAAGCACUUUAAGCGAGGAGGAGGCUCUUUUGGUUAAUACCCAAGAUGAGUGGACGUUACUCGCAGAAUAAGCACCGGCUAACUCUGUGCCAGCCACCGCCGUAA
rnacentral:rRNA from 1 species